GAGUUUGAUCCUGGCUCAGGACGAACGCUGGCGGCGUGCCUAAUACAUGCAAGUUGAACGAUGAUUUCUGGUACUUGUAUCAGAAUGAAGAGUAGCGAACGGGUGAGUAACGCGUGGGUAACCUACCUCUUAGCGGGGGACAACUAUUGGAAACGAUAGCUAAUACCGCAUAACAAUAUUAAACACAUGUUUAACAUUUGAAAGUACCAAUUGGUACACUAGGAGAUGGACCCGCGUUGUAUUAGCUAGUUGGUAGUGUAAUGGACUACCAAGGCGAUGAUACAUAGCCGACCUGAGAGGGUGAUCGGCCACAUUGGGACUGAGACACGGCCCAAACUCCUACGGGAGGCAGCAGUAGGGAAUCUUCGGCAAUGGACGAAAGUCUGACCGAGCAACGCCGCGUGAGUGAAGAAGGUUUUCGGAUCGUAAAACUCUGUUGUUAGAGAAGAACGUUGUGUAGAGUGGAAAAUUACACAAGUGACGGUAUCUAACCAGAAAGGGACGGCUAACUACGUGCCAGCAGCCGCGGUAAUACGUAGGUCCCGAGCGUUGUCCGGAUUUAUUGGGCGUAAAGCGAGCGCAGGUGGUUUAAUAAGUCUGAUGUAAAAGGCAGUGGCUCAACCAUUGUGUGCAUUGGAAACUGUUAGACUUGAGUGCAGUAGAGGAGAGUGGAAUUCCAUGUGUAGCGGUGAAAUGCGUAGAUAUAUGGAGGAACACCGGUGGCGAAAGCGGCUCUCUGGACUGUAACUGACACUGAGGCUCGAAAGCGUGGGAGCAAACAGGAUUAGAUACCCUGGUAGUCCACGCCGUAAACGAUGUCAACUAGCCGUUGGAAUCCUUGAGAUUUUAGUGGCGCAGCUAACGCAUUAAGUUGACCGCCUGGGGAGUACGGCCGCAAGGUUAAAACUCAAAUGAAUUGACGGGGGCCCGCACAAGCGGUGGAGCAUGUGGUUUAAUUCGAAGCAACGCGAAGAACCU
rnacentral:rRNA from 1 species